CGGGAAGAAGCUUUUUCCUUCCUUUAGCCGCAUGAAGCGGUUGCAACAGGUUCUCCUGGCGCAUCCCCAUCGAAGCAGCAGGUGUCUCCUCCCUCUCCUGCCUGCGAUGCGCCCUCCUGGCCUCGCUCGUCCUGACCGACCGGCGAGGCUUUUU
rnacentral:sRNA from 1 species